rnacentral:rRNA from 1 species
AGAGUUUGAUCAUGGCUCAGGACGAACGCUGGCGGCGUGCCUAAUACAUGCAAGUCGAACGAAGCUUUCUUUCACCGAAUGCUUACAUUCACCGAAAGAAGCUUAGUGGCGAACGGGUGAGUAACACGUAGGCAACCUGCCCAAAAGAGGGGGAUAACACUUGGAAACAGGUGCUAAUACCGCAUAACCAUGAACACCGCAUGAUGUUCAUGUAAAAGACGGCUUUUGCUGUCACUUUUGGAUGGGCCUGCGGCGUAUUAACUUGUUGGUGGGGUAACGGCCUACCAAGGUGAUGAUACGUAGCCGAACUGAGAGGUUGAUCGGCCACAUUGGGACUGAGACACGGCCCAAACUCCUACGGGAGGCAGCAGUAGGGAAUCUUCCACAAUGGACGAAAGUCUGAUGGAGCAACGCCGCGUGAAUGAAGAAGGCCUACGGGUCGUAAAAUUCUGUUGUCAGAGAAGAACGUGCGUGAGAGUAACUGUUCACGUAUUGACGGUAUCUGACCAGAAAGCCACGGCUAACUACGUGCCAGCAGCCGCGGUAAUAUGUAGGUGGCGAGCGUUGUCCGGAUUUAUUGGGCGUAAAGGGAACGCAGGCGGUCUUUUAAGUCUGAUGUGAAAGCCUUCGGCUUAACCGAAGUAGUGCAUUGGAAACUGGAAGACUUGAGUGCAGAAGAGGAGAGUGGAACUCCAUGUGUAGCGGUGAAAUGCGUAGAUAUAUGGAAGAACACCAGUGGCGAAAGCGGCUCUCUGGUCUGUAACUGACGCUGAGGUUCGAAAGCGUGGGUAGCAAACAGGAUUAGAUACCCUGGUAGUCCACGCCGUAAACGAUGAGUGCUAAGUGUUGGAGGGUUUCCGCCCUUCAGUGCUGCAGCUAACGCAUUAAGCACUCCGCCUGGGGAGUACGGUCGCAAGACUGAAACUCAAAGGAAUUGACGGGGGCCCGCACAAGCGGUGGAGCAUGUGGUUUAAUUCGAAGCAACGCGAAGAACCUUACCAGGUCUUGACAUCUUCUGACAAUUCCAGAGAUGGAACGUUCCCUUCGGGGACAGAAUGACAGGUGGUGCAUGGUUGUCGUCAGCUCGUGUCGUGAGAUGUUGGGUUAAGUCCCGCAACGAGCGCAACCCUUAUUGUCAGUUGCCAUCAUUAAGUUGGGCACUCUGGCGAGACUGCCGGUGACAAACCGGAGGAAGGUGGGGAUGACGUCAAAUCAUCAUGCCCCUUAUGACCUGGGCUACACACGUGCUACAAUGGACGGUACAACGAGUCGCUAACUCGCGGGGGCAAGCUAAUCUCUUAAAGCCGUUCUCAGUUCGGAUUGCAGGCUGCAACUCGCCUGCAUGAAGUCGGAAUCGCUAGUAAUCGCGAAUCGGCAUGUCGCGGUGAAUACGUUCCCGGGCCUUGUACACACCGCCCGUCACACCAUGAGAGUUUGUAACACCCAAAGUCGGUGGGGUAACCUUUUGGAGCCAGCCGCCUAAGGUGGGACAGAUGAUUGGGGUGAAGUCGUAACAAGGUA